rnacentral:rRNA from 1 species
CCUACGGGAGGCAGCAGUGAGGAAUAUUGGUCAAUGGGCGCGAGCCUGAACCAGCCAAGUAGCGUGAAGGAUGACUGCCCUACGGGUUGUAAACUUCUUUUAUCAAGGAAUAAAGUGAGCCACGCGUGCCGUUUUGUAUGUACCUUAUGAAUAAGCAUCGGCUAACUCCGUGCCAGCAGCCGCGGUAAUACGGAGGAUCCGAGCGUUAUCCGGAUUUAUUGGGUUUAAAGGGAGCGUAGAUGGGUUGUAAAGUCAGUUGUGAAAGUCUGGGUCUCAACCGUAAGAUUGCAGUUGAUACUGGCAGUCUUGAGUACAGUAGAGGUACGCGGAAUUCGUGGUGUAGCGGUGAAAUGCAUAGAUAUCACGAAGAACUCCGAUUGCGAAGGCAGCGUACUAAACUGCCACUGACAUUGAUGCUCGAAAGUGUGGGUAUCAAACAGGAUUAGAUACCCCUGUAGUC